rnacentral:lncRNA from 1 species
UAGAGUUAAUUGUCAUCAGCAAAAAUUCUAGCUCAUAAAAUUAGCAUGUUCCAUAGAAGACUUUAACCUAGAGUUUUUAGAGCAAUAAAGAAGUGGCAAAGCAAUAUACUUUUGCAGCCAUUUGUCGAAACUUGAUUCUUUCAUGUCUAGUACAAGGAGUGAGCUUCGGCUCAACUCAUGUCUAGUACAAGGAGUGGGCUUCGCCUCAACUCAUAUUUAAUACAAGAAGAGGCUUCAACUCAACUCGUAUAUAAUACGAGGAGUGAGGUUUGACUUGAUACAUACUGGCACCA